GUCCACGCCGUAAACGAUGGAUACUAGCUGUUCGGAGCAAUCUGAGUGGCUAAGCGAAAGUGAUAAGUAUCCCACCUGGGGAGUACGUUCGCAAGAAUGAAACUCAAAGGAAUUGACGGGGGCCCGCACAAGCGGUGGAGCAUGCUGUUUAAUUCGACGAUACGCGAAGAACCUUACCUAGACUUGACAUCCCUGGCAAAGCUAUAGAAAUAUAGUGGAGGUCAUCCAGGUGACAGGUGGUGCAUGGUUGUCGU
rnacentral:rRNA from 1 species